CCUACGGGUGGCAGCAGUAGGGAAUUUUCGUCAAUGGGCGCAAGCCUGAACGAGCAAUGCCGCGUGAACGAGGACGGUCUUCGGAUCGUAAAGUUCUGUUGAAGGGGAAAAAGAGCGGAGCGAGGAAAUGAUCUCUUAUUGAUCUUACCCUUCGAAGCAGUCACGGCUAACUACGUGCCAGCAGCCGCGGUAAUACGUAGGUGGCGAGCGUUAUCCGGAAUGAUUGGGCGUAAAGGGUGCGUAGGCGGCCUGCUAAGUCUUGAGUGAAAGGUACCGGCUCAACCGGGACAGGCUCUGGAAACUGGCGGGCUAGAGAGCAGGAGAGGGCGGUGGAACUCCAUGUGUAGCGGUAAAAUGCGUAGAUAUAUGGAAGAACACCAGUGGCGAAGGCGGCCGCCUGGCGUGGUGACUGACGCUGAGGCACGAAAGCGUGGGGAGCAAAUAGGAUUAGAUACCCCUGUAGUC
rnacentral:rRNA from 1 species